CAAGUGCCUCUGUGAGCUAUCAUCCUGGCGUUGGGUUUCCAUCUGUGAAAUCAGUUUUGCUGGAAGCCCUCUUCCCGCUCUGAGACCAUGCCUCUAGGAGACUGGCUGAGAGGAGGGAUGAGGGGGCUAAAGGUGACUAGCUCAGCCUUUGCUUGUAUUUCUCAAGAAUGAUCCAUUCCCUGCCAACUCGGGGUUUCUACGGUUGCUGUUGGAAUACAUGUUUCUUUCCCCAGUCCAAAUGCUGGGCACCAUUAGAACUGAGACCAAUAUGUGGGUGCUUCUAAAAGCUUUCACAAACCAAAUGCACGCAAUUCCACCGUAAUUCCCAGCUUCUCCAAUCCACUACCGCCCAGGUGAAGAGGUAAACAGCACGUGAGUGGAUAACAACUCUGGGCUAACGGAAGAGACUCUCUCCCCAUCUCAGAGCCAGGCUGGAGAUGAUCGUAUAUUCCCCAAAUGGACAUAAAUUUCAAUGGCGUAUGCUGCACAACUGCCUUCUCAUUGAGUGCGCACAUGCUGGAAGAUGGGAUGGUGCUUUGUCCUUUACAGUAAUGCUUUGGGAAUGACUAUGUACCGCAAGCCACAGAACUCCUAAGUGCUAGCACAGGGUUUCCCAGGAGCCUUUACCAGGUCACGUGGCCGGAAGUGCUGCUGAGACUUGCUUCAGAGCAGAAAGACCUGGGUCAAUUGGGCCCUUCCCCCAUCUAGUCCUGGGGGAGGGGACAAGUGCAGAACCAAUAGCUGCUCCCCAAACACGUGGGAGGAGGGAGAAGGGCCUGAAGACACCUUCCGAGAGCACCUUUACUAGCUGCUCACUUUUCUCACCUUCUUAUCUUCCGGAGAUUGGAAACAUGCAGCACAUGGAGGGAGAGGCUAGCUCCAUCCAAGAGUACAAAUUAGAAGGCGGAGGAAGGAUGCCAUAGCUUUCUGAGGCUUCCCCUGCCUUUGAAGCCCUUGCCUAAGACCAUCUGAGACCCCCCCUCCGGACCACUGCCUCACACUUGUGCUACUUCACCAGGCAUCCACAACCCCCCGGUGGGCUCCUGGAGGGCUCAGGCAGUGGGGCACUACUGAGUACUACUGAGUACUAGUACUGACAUUGCUGUUGCUGUGAGCUGCUGCGUCAUAAAAAGGAGAUGCAGUAGUGCGGCCGUGCAUGGCUCCCCAGCGUGCUGCAUUUCAGCAGAACUGUCAUUUGAGUGGCUGCAGAACGUGACUUUAUGUUGUUCCAUGUUUUGAUUCCUUCUUCAAACCACUGGGCUCAGGGAGUCACAGGAAACCUUCAAGGGUGGGAAGGUUUGCAGGAGGACACUGCUCUUCACAGAUAUCUUCAGAGAGCGUUGUUCAGUGCCCCACAAAGAGUCUGGGCUUGCCUGGGAGCCCUAGUUCCUGAGAAUAGUGAGCUGCUGCCAGAGAGACACAGGAACCGGGAUCUUCCCUCAAGCCAGGAUGCGAAGCCGCCAAAGGAAGCAGAGACCUCCCAGAGGGAGAGACAAGGAGCCUCAGGGAGCACAGAGCAUUCACACACACAAGGGCCAUCUGUCCAGCUCUGAGUGUCUCCUAACACAGAGCAUCCUGGGGAAUUCACUAAAAUUAAGAGUCUUCUGAGGAAUGCAAAACAUUCCUGGGGCCAGGGGCAGGCUGGCCUCUAGCCUGUGGCCUUGACAUGGGAGCCUUGCGACUAAAAGAAAUAAAAGAUGCCUCAGUUGAGUUGACCUCCCUUCUCUGGCGCUAAAGCC